rnacentral:rRNA from 1 species
UGAACGCUAGCUACAGGCUUAACACAUGCAAGUCGAGGGGCAGCAUUUCAGUUUGCUUGCAAACUGGAGAUGGCGACCGGCGCACGGGUGAGUAACACGUAUCCAACCUGCCGAUAACUCGGGGAUAGCCUUUCGAAAGAAAGAUUAAUACCCGAUGGCAUAAUUAGACCGCAUGGUCUUAUUAUUAAAGAAUUUCGGUUAUCGAUGGGGAUGCGUUCCAUUAGGCAGUUGGUGAGGUAACGGCUCACCAAACCUUCGAUGGAUAGGGGUUCUGAGAGGAAGGUCCCCCACAUUGGAACUGAGACACGGUCCAAACUCCUACGGGAGGCAGCAGUGAGGAAUAUUGGUCAAUGGGCGCAGGCCUGAACCAGCCAAGUAGCGUGAAGGAUGACUGCCCUAUGGGUUGUAAACUUCUUUUAUAUGGGAAUAAAGUUUUCCACGUGUGGAAUUUUGUAUGUACCAUAUGAAUAAGGAUCGGCUAACUCCGUGCCAGCAGCCGCGGUAAUACGGGGGAUCCGAGCGUUAUCCGGAUUUAUUGGGUUUAAAGGGAGCGUAGGUGGACAGUUAAGUCAGUUGUGAAAGUUUGCGGCUCAACCGUAAAAUUGCAGUUGAUACUGGCUGUCUUGAGUACAGUAGAGGUGGGCGGAAUUCGUGGUGUAGCGGUGAAAUGCUUAGAUAUCACGAAGAACUCCGAUUGCGAAGGCAGCUCACUGGACUGCAACUGACACUGAUGCUCGAAAGUGUGGGUAUCAAACAGGAUUAGAUACCCUGGUAGUCCACACAGUAAACGAUGAAUACUCGCUGUUUGCGAUAUACAGUAAGCGGCCAAGCGAAAGCAUUAAGUAUUCCACCUGGGGAGUACGCCGGCAACGGUGAAACUCAAAGGAAUUGACGGGGGCCCGCACAAGCGGAGGAACAUGUGGUUUAAUUCGAUGAUACGCGAGGAACCUUACCCGGGCUUAAAUUGCAUUUGAAUAUAUUGGAAACAGUAUAGCCGUAAGGCAAAUGUGAAGGUGCUGCAUGGUUGUCGUCAGCUCGUGCCGUGAGGUGUCGGCUUAAGUGCCAUAACGAGCGCAACCCUUAUCUUUAGUUACUAACAGGUCAUGCUGAGGACUCUAGAGAGACUGCCGUCGUAAGAUGUGAGGAAGGUGGGGAUGACGUCAAAUCAGCACGGCCCUUACGUCCGGGGCUACACACGUGUUACAAUGGGGGGUACAGAAGGCAGCUACCUGGUGACAGGAUGCUAAUCCCAAAAGCCUCUCUCAGUUCGGAUCGAAGUCUGCAACCCGACUUCGUGAAGCUGGAUUCGCUAGUAAUCGCGCAUCAGCCAUGGCGCGGUGAAUACGUUCCCGGGCCUUGUACACACCGCCCGUCAAGCCAUGAAAGCCGGGGGUACCUGAAGUACGUAACCGCAAGGAGCGUCCUAGGGUAAAACUGG